rnacentral:lncRNA from 1 species
UAAAAUUAUAUCAACGACCAUCCUUGAAACUUUCUUAAGUACAAUUGCAAAGUAUUGAGUUAUUGUUACUCCAAACCUUUACAUUGGUGCCCAAGAUUUACAAAAAAAAAAAAAAAAUCCCAACAUUUCAUGAGAAAAUAUGUGUCUUAAAGUUUGCAAAUUGUAUCUUAUUUCUAAAACUCUCAACAAGCUUGUGAAUACAAUUUUUGACAUUUUAAAAUUAAUCAUACAACGUGAUUCAUGAUUGUCAAGGGAUUCAUGAUCGUCAAGGGAUUCAUGAUCAUCAAGGAUUUAUGUUUCACCUGAUUGUUUUGAAUCCAUGCAUGAUUACUUCAAUAUAUACUUCUCAUAAUAUAAUUGCACAGAAGAAGAUGCAACAUGAAAUAACUAGUUAAAACUUUCCAUGUGUUGUAAAAUAUUUCUUUUCUCUUUUAUCAUUACUUCUAUCACCACUGGAAUUGUUAACCAUACUCAUCACCUGUGAACAAAUUCUAUAUAUAAAAACCAAACAUAAAACCCCAGACCCUAAAUCAAGAUAUUGGUAGAAUGGGAUAUCCUUCAAUUGGAAUAUAAGUGGAAUGGGAUAUCUCGAAUUGGGAUAUCUUUUGAAUGGGAUAUCCCUUAUCGGAAUAAGUAUGACAUAUAGCUCGGUUCAAUAACGUAAAAAAUUUGAACCAGAUACUAAAACAAUUGACCAGACUGUAGAAAUUUUCAAUCAGGAAUAACAUAGUCAGGAUAUCCGCAGAAUAGUUUAUCCUGAGAAGGAAUAUGACUAGGAUAUCCUUGGAGUAGAAUAAGAAGAAAAAUUAACUAUAGCAGGACAGUUAAAAAUUUUGCACCGAAUAUAAGAUAAGCCCAAUAACCCAGUAAUCCAAAACAUAAACAAGACAAAUCACCUAACAUUGAAUCGAAAGCCCAAUAACCCAUAGCCCCAACAAUAUUCUGCUAAGCAUGAAAUAAAACGAAAGAUCCGUAAAGAGAAACAGAAAAAUAAAACAAAGGGAAACAAAGAAUUCAAAAAUAAAAAACAUCCACCGAAAAUUGAUGUAUAAAGACAAAGACAAAGGAUUUAUAUUGCU